UACAGAGGUCUCGAGCGUUGUUCGGAUUCAUUGGGCGUAAAGGGUGCGUAGGUGGCGCCGUAAGUCGGGGGUGAAAUUUCGGAGCUUAACUCCGAAACUGCAUUCGAUACUGCGGUGCUUGAGGACUGGAGAGGAGACUGGAAUUCAUGGUGUAGCAGUGAAAUGCGUAGAUAUCAUGAGGAAGACCAGUGGCGAAGGCGGGUCUCUGGACAGUUCCUGACACUGAGGCACGAAGGCCAGGGGAGCAAACGGG
rnacentral:rRNA from 1 species